AGAGUUUGAUCCUGGCUCAGGAUGAACGCUAGCGGCAGGCUUAACACAUGCAAGUCGAGGGGUAACAGGGAGUGCUUGCACUCUGCUGACGACCGGCGCACGGGUGCGUAACGCGUAUGCAACCUACCUUCUACAGGGGGAUAGUCCAGAGAAAUUUGGCAUAAUACUCCAUACGAUCAUUUAUUGGCAUCGAUAGAUGAGGAAAACUCCGGUGGUAGAAGAUGGGCAUGCGUCCUAUUAGUUAGUUGGUAAGGUAACGGCUUACCAAGACAUCGAUAGGUAGGGGUCCUGAGAGGGAGAUCCCCCACACUGGUACUGAGACACGGACCAGACUCCUACGGGAGGCAGCAGUGAGGAAUAUUGGACAAUGGAGGCAACUCUGAUCCAGCCAUGCCGCGUGCAGGAAGACGGCCCUACGGGUUGUAAACUGCUUUUAUACAGGAAGAAACGCCGCUACGUGUAGCGGUUUGACGGUACUGUACGAAUAAGGAUCGGCUAACUCCGUGCCAGCAGCCGCGGUAAUA
rnacentral:rRNA from 1 species